ensembl:lncRNA ERVK13-1 endogenous retrovirus group K13 member 1
GGAGCACGGGGUGAUCUGGGCACUAACGCUGAUGGGGAGCAGCGGACAUCAGCCUCGACCUCCCACGAGCGGUGCACGAGCGCCUGACCCAGACCUCGACCCUAGCCUUCACCCCCACCCUGACUCCAGUUCAUGAACUGGUCAAAGGAAGAGCCAUGCCAGCAAACGUCUACACUGUACAUGCUUUUUAUUACAAGACUACGGAGCAUAGGAGGAAAAUUCAUCAUCUGGAAAAGAACUACAGCCUGUGUGGGUCCCCUCCCGACAAUUAAAAUUGCACCAUAACUCCAAAGAUGAAACGCUCCCAGAAAGAAAAGGCAAAGACCCAUCGGAAACAAAAGAGCAACUUUCACCGCCUGAUACAUACACUUCAUGACAUCCACAUUGAGACAAAAUCUCGCCGUGUGACCUACAACACCUCUCGUUCAACCCCACCUACUUGGGGUCGAAUACAGAUUUUAUCUCAUCAAACAGAAAAAUUCUUAACAGAAAAAGGAAUCCCAAAAAUGACUGGUAAUAUAAUUCUGGCUGCCUUUAUGGUAGUCAGUGCAGCGUCUGCAGAUGCCUCUAAGGAGUCCGAAACCAAGUCCGAAGUCAACAACAAGCAAUGAUGGCGAUGGCGAUUCUAGUUAAUAAAAAGGGGGGAGAUGUGGGCGGCAAGCCACCCAGGCACCGAGGCAAGAGACAGAGGACACGAGCUGUUCCAGUAUAAUAAAAUAUAAAACAAGAAUAGUUAUACCAGAUAUAGAUCUUAGAUAUGAUUAUAUACGAAUAUCAUUAAUCAUGAGUUUGUAGCAAUUACUUUUUAUUCCAAUAUUAUGAUAAUCCUCGCUCUAUAAUCAUAGCCUAGGAAAAACCAGGCCAUACAGAGAUAGGAGCUGAGGGGACAUAGUGAAGUGUGACCAGAAGACAAGAGUGCGAGCCUUCUGUUAUGCCCGGACAGGGCCACCAGAGGGCUCCUUGGUCUAGCGGUGACGCCAGCGUCUGGGAAGACACCCGUUACCAGGCGGAUCGUGGCCCAGCCGUAGCAAAAGGUGUCAAGGAACACCUUUUGCAAAAGGUGUCAACACCCGCUACUUAGCAGACUGGGAAAGGGGGGCGGUCUCCCUUUCCCCGGGGGAGUUUAGAGAAGACUCUGUUCCUCCACCUCUUGUGGAGGGCCUGACAUCAGUCAGGCUUGCCCGUAGUUAUCCGGAGGCCUAACUGUCUCCCUGUGAUGCUGUGCUUCAGUGGUCACGCUCCUAGUCUGCCUUCAUUUUCCAUCCUGUACACCUGGCUCUGCCUUCUAGAUAGCAGUAGUAAAUUAGUGAAAAUACUAAUAGUCCCUGAUAUGCAGAAAUAAUGGCAUAAGCUGUCUUUCUCUCUGUCUCCUCUCCCUCUCUGCCUCGGCUGCCAGGCAGGGAAGGGCCCCCUGUCCAGUGGACACAUGACCCAUGUGACCUUACCUAUCAUUGGAGGUGACUCACAUUCUUUACCCUGCCCCUUCUGCCUUGUAUCCAAUAACAGCGCAGUCAGACAUUCAGGGCCACUACCGGUCUCCGCACAUUGGUGGUAGUGGUCCCCCGGGCCCAGCUGCCUUUUCUCUUA